UGGGGAUUAUUGCACAAUGGAGGGAACUCUGAUGCAGCGACGCCGCGUGAACGAAGAAGGCUUUCGAGUCGUAAAGUUCUUUUAUAUGGGAAGAUAAUGACGGUACCAUAAGAAAAAGCCCCGGCUAACUACGUGCCAGCAGCCGCGGUAAUACGUAGGGGGCUAGCGUUGUCCGGAAUCACUGGGCGUAAAGGGUUCGCAGGCGGAAAUGCAAGUCAGGUGUAAAAGGCAGUAGCUUAACUACUGUAAGCAUUUGAAACUGCAUAUCUUGGGAAGAGUAGAGGUAAGUGGGAUUUUUAGUGUGGCGGUGAAAUGCGUAGAAAAUAAAAAGAAUACCGGUGGCGAAGGCGACUUGCUGGGGUCAUUCUGACGCUGAGGAACGAAAGCGUGGGUAGCAAACAGG
rnacentral:rRNA from 1 species